AUGAAGGGGAGCUUGCUCCCCGGAUUAGUGGCGAACGGGUGAGUAACACGUGAGCAACCUGCCCCUAACUCUGGGAUAACGCUUCGAAAGGAGUGCUAAUACCGGAUAUGAGCCUGGAAGACAUCUUCUGGGUUGGAAAGUUUUUCGGUUAGGGAUGGGCUCGCGGCCUAUCAGCUAGUUGGUGAGGUAAAGGCUCACCAAGGCGACGACGGGUAUCCGGCCUGAGAGGGCGACCGGACACACUGGGACUGAGACACGGCCCAGACUCCUACGGGAGGCAGCAGUGGGGAAUAUUGCGCAAUGGGCGAAAGCCUGACGCAGCGACGCCGCGUGAGGGAUGAAGGUCUUCGGAUUGUAAACCUCUUUCAGCAGGGACGAAGCGAAAGUGACGGUACCUGCAGAAGAAGCACCGGCUAACUACGUGCCAGCAGCCGCGGUAAUACGUAGGGUGCAAGCGUUGUCCGGAUUUAUUGGGCGUAAAGAGCUCGUAGGCGGUUAGACACGUCGGAUGUGAAAACUGGGGGCUCAACCCCCAGCCUGCAUUCGAUACGGUCUGACUAGAGUGUGGUAGGGGUAACUGGAAUUCCUGGUGUAGCGGUGAAAUGCGCAG
rnacentral:rRNA from 1 species